AUGACUGAGUGGCGACGGGUGAGUAAUACAUAAGCAAUCUGCCCAUCGGCCUGGGAUAACAGUUGGAAACGACUGCUAAUACCGGAUAGGUGAUAAAGAGGCAUCUCUUGAUCAUUAAAGUUGGGAUACAANACGGAUGGAUGAGCUUAUGGCGUAUUAGCUAGUAGGUGAGGUAACGGCCCACCUAGGCGAUGAUACGUAGCCGACCUGAGAGGGUGACCGGCCACAUUGGGACUGAGACACGGCCCAAACUCCUACGGGAGGCAGCAGUAGGGAAUUUUCGGCAAUGGGCGAAAGCCUGACCGAGCAACGCCGCGUGAGUGAAGAAGGCCUUCGGGUUGUAAAGCUCUGUUGUGAAGGAAGAACGGCUCAUACAGAGAAUGGUAUGGGAGUGACGGUACUUUACCAGGAAGCCACGGCUAACUACGUG
rnacentral:rRNA from 1 species